rnacentral:tRNA from 1 species
GCCUCUGUGGCUCAGUGGUAGAGCGUGUCCUUGGUAUGGUGCGACAAAGAGGACAAGGUCGCGAGUUCGAUUCUCGCCAGAGGCU